UAAGGAAUAUUGGACAAUGGAGGCAACUCUGAUCCAGCCAUGCCGCGUGAAGGAAUAAGGCCCUAUGGGUUGUAAACUUCUUUUAGACGGGACAAAACCCCUUUACGUGUAAAGGGUUGAUGGUACUGUCAGAAUAGGCAUCGGCUAACUUCGUGCCAGCAGCCGCGGUAAUACGAAGGAUGCAAGCGUUAUCCGGAAUUAUUGGGUUUAAAGGGUGCGUAGGCGGACUAAUAAGUCAGUGGUGAAAGCCUGCAGCUUAACUGCAGAAUUGCCAUUGAUACUGUUAGUCUUGAGUAUAGUUGAGGUAGGCGGAAUGUGUCAUGUAGCGGUGAAAUGCUUAGAUCUGACACAGAACACCGAUUGCGAAGGCAGCUUGCUAAGCUGUAACUGACGCUGAGGCACGAAAGCGUGGGGAGCAAACA
rnacentral:rRNA from 1 species